GGGUGAUUAGUCUAGUGGUUAGGACGCUUCGUUGUGGUAAAAAGUAGGAGAUCUCGAGUUUUCUAUGUGGACUACCACAACAGAACCGAAGAAACCCCGGUUCGAUUCCGGGAUCGCCCA
rnacentral:tRNA from 1 species